UGAAGAAGCACCAAUCGUCGAAACUCCACCAGUAGAGGCCUCUGAAGUUGAUGGUGCCAUUGUAAAGGAGGUUGAACCUAUCAUUUCCGAAACAGAACCAGUAGCUGAGAUCACACCCCCAGCUGAGACUCUGGUGGUGGCUCCCGCUGAGAUUGAGACACAAGAUGUCAGUGAGCCAGAAACCAAGGUGGAGGCCGAGGCCUUGCCAGAGGAAGUUGCAGUCACUGAGGCUGAGGUGGAGGUGGCCGUCACAGAAGAUGUUGCUGUGUCAGAACCCAUAAUUGAAGCCACUGAAGAAGUGGUGGAAGUACUUACUAGUGACCAAGUUCCUGCCGCAGUAGAGCCUGCUGCAGUAGAGGCAGUUACAGAAGCUGAAGUUUCUGCCCCAGCAGA